CCUAGACCUAUUUAAGAGCUGACUAGCUGUGGAGAAGGAUCUCUUCUGGAGAUCCUCUCUGCUGGAGUUUUGUAAGUGGGCCUGGGAUGUGGCUCAGCCUGACAUAGACUGUGCUUUAUUUCCUGAUAAGAGCAGGGCUUGGCUUCUGAGCCUUCUUGACCAACUUUAGCUGCCACUGAUAGGCAAGAUGGGCCUUGAAAAUAGCUGAGGCCUCAUAGAAGAGAAAGAGACCUCUUCAGGGAGAACUAGUCUGGGACUCUUCCAUGAUUUACUGUUUGGCUUGCCAGCAGCCAGCUGGCAGGGUCUCCUGAGCACGUGCAAGCACAUAGCUUGCAGUGAAAUUUUGUUUGCCUGGCUCAUGAGGGAUAGGUGCUAUAGAGGUAUGGGUCAUCUGAAACCUCAGUGGAGCAGGUAAAAUAAGGUUAUUACAGUGGGAUUCCUAGAGGAAACUUGUAGGGAGAGCAUUUAGAUACAUACAAGCUGUUUGCAUUAGCCCUCCCCUUUCUACACUCAUUUGGACUCAGUUGCACUCAAUGUGCAGCUGUCUUAGCAGGAACUGGCAAUCAUCACUGGGGAGAAACCUACUGCUCUUUUGCUGAGGCCUCCAGGUUGCUCUGCUGAAAUAUUACCUUCUCAUUGGACUGGGUAGACUCUGGGCAGAGGUGAAAGAGUAACAUGACAGCCGGGGCACUCUGAACCUCACAGGGAGGUAUUGUAAAAGUAUUGCUGCCCUUGUGUGGAGAACUAAGUUUGGCUUUCAGGCCAGUGAGCAGAUGUCAGAGCCUGACUUUUCUAGAACCAUGUAAGGUGCUAAAUGCUUCUUUCUGGAUCUACUCUUCUUUUUAGCAGGCACAAACAAAAUUACACAUGACAAGUGUCUCUGG